rnacentral:lncRNA from 1 species
GGCCGUCUACGUCCAGGAGCAGCUCCUGCUACGCAAGGGGGUCCGAAUUCCCACCUUCGGUUCCUUCAGCAUCGUCUCCGAACGGAUUGAGGCUGAGGAUGGAGCCAUGACUCUGCAGUGGCCUGCGUUUUGCCUGGCCAGGAACCUUGCGGGCAUCCACAACCUGAUGGAGAGCUACCCACCAGGCCAUAAGGAGGUGCAGCCCCUCAAGUACACUGAGGUGGCCGCGGCCGCAUCUGUGACCUGGCAGACUGGGAAGGCCUGCAUAUUUGGCACCACGUCCCUCGUUUCCCACUGCCUGAGGAAGGGGGAGAACAUUGCCUUUGUCCUGAAGGACAUAGGAGUGCUCCUCAUCGAGGGAACGAGAGUUCAGAUGAAGUUCUACUACGACUUCCUCGAGAGGAUCAGCGGGAAAGAGAACCUAGAGAAAGUUGUUUUCAAGGUGCCCCGGCUGCGGGACAUGGUGGUGUCCCGGGUGGCAGCUGUAGCCUCCCUGACGUCCUGUGGCCGAGUCAUCGUCUUUCCCAGGUUUCGACGGGAGUUUGUACCCAAACCACCACCCAGGACAGCCCGCAAGGCCUGCCAUGUCCCAUUGCCACCUCUUGACCAGGGCAAGAAAGAGGAACUUCCUGAAUUGCCACCCCUCCCCAGCUGGAUCCGCGUUACCUUUGUAGUGAAAAAACAGCCUGAGAAGGAAACAAGCGAUGUCAAGAAGGCGGCCAGUCAGCUGCCAGCGGUCCCGGGGGCGUCUUCUGCCAAAAAGCAGCCUCAGAAAAAAAAGAAGGGAAAAUGCUCUACCAAAAGCAAGGCGGCAGAGAUGGCUCCAGCAGAGGCAGCGCAACCUCCAAGUGGCAAAGAAGAAGAACACGGCGCGGUGAAAGCCCCCGCUGGAGGAGGAGUGCCGCAAAAGGCACAGGCCAAGCUCAGAAAGCACCGUGGAGCCCCAGCCCUGCAACAAACACCACUGGCAGCCCUAUGGUCCUCGAGCUCUGAGACCAGCCUGCCCGAGGAGCGCACCUACAGCGCCUCUGCUGCGGUGCCACUGAUGCACAGGAGGACCAGAUCUCUGCAGAGUCAGCCACCAAAGACCAAAGCGGGGCUCCCCAGGCGGGGGAUGUCCUGUCCACGCUGACCAGGGCAUGGGGUGCCCAGGAGAAGCAGAGCUCCACCUGAGGCUGCCAAACAGGUGUGCGAUUCCUCUCUGUGCCAUUCCUGGGGGCCUGUCUGCACCCUUCUUUGGUUUUGGCUCCAAGUUUGCUUUCGGAGGCACUUCUUGCCAUAAGACUCUGACUUGGCUAGGAGAUGACAGGUGGGUGUGGCAAUCAGCAUCACUUGGUGGACAAUUUUACAUUUGAAAGCAUUUCUUUGCAGCUCUUUGCCUUUGGAAAAGAGUGCUGAGGAGUGUUUACUUGAGGAAGGUGUGGGCUGUGACCAAAAACUCCAGCUUGGUAUAGGAGAACUGAGGGAACAACGCCAUCGUAUCCUGCGAAAAACAGGAUGCAGGUGGGCACCUCCCUGCUCCCUCCUAUCUGCUGGCAAGGCGCGGGAGAUGGGGACAAAGGAGUUUCUGCUGAGAUCCCAAAGCCACAAGCCGCCACUCCAAAGAGAGCUGACCGUUGUCGUCAACUGAACAACGACCCCUGAUGACCCAUCACUACUGUAGAUCGACGUCUGAGCUACGAACCACGCUGGACCUGUGGUGGUGACUGUCUCUCUCUUGCUUCCUACAAAGACGGCUUGCUUUUAUUUGCUAUAUUUUCUAUCGCCCGUCUUCCCUUCCCCAUCUCCCUAAACAACUUGGGUUUGUAAUAAAGCGGACGGGCUAACAUUUAACCCGUGGUGUCUUAAGCUCUCUGUCAGGUGUACAUAGAAUAAAAGAACCUCCUCUCGCUCUGAUAAUGGGAGCGAGACAGUGCCGUCUCUUUGAAGAAAAGCAGAGGUAGAGGGACAAUGGAGACUCUUCCUUCCAAGACCCCUUGGCUCUGACAGACAAGGUGGCUACACUCCUUGGAGCCUUGGGAUCUCGAGCUCCUCAUUUUCCAGUGUCACGCUCUCUUCUGGUGGCACGCAGAGCACACCAAAGCCCACGAAUAGGCAGCGUUUGAAAGGCAUAGCUAUGCGUGAGGCCCAAGAGUUUCCUUCCAACUCGCUGCU